CACGUAGGGGGCGAGCGUUGUCCGGAUUUAUUGGGCGUAAAGAGCUCGUAGGCGGCUCGGUAAGUGAGGUGUGAAAACUCCAGGCUCAACCUGGAGACGCCACCUCAUACUGCUGUGGCUAGAGUCCGGUAGGGGAGCAUGGAAUUCCUGGUGUAGCGGUGAAAUGCGCAGAUAUCAGGAGGUACACCAGUGGCGAAGGCGGUGCUCUGGGCCGGAACUGACGCUGAGGAGCGAAAGCGUGGGGAGCAAACAGG
rnacentral:rRNA from 1 species